rnacentral:rRNA from 1 species
UCGUACCUUUUGCAUCAUGAUUUAGCCAGUACCCCUCAAGCGAAGAGCAUUUUAGUUUGAUCCCCCGAAACUACGUGAGCUACUCCAAGACAGCCUAUCAUAGGGCAAAUCCGUCUCUGUGGCAAAAGAGUGGAAAGAGCUUUGAGUAGAGGUGACAAACCUACCGAACCUAGUUAUAGCUGGUUGCCUGAGAAUUGGAUAUGAGUUCAGCCUCUAGGCUUCUUUCCUCCCCCGGACCUUACCAACACCGACACCUAAAGAAACCAAGAGAGUUAAUCAAAGGGGGUACAGCCCCUUUGAUAUAAGACACAACUUUUACAGGAGGGUAAAGAUCAUAAUCACCAAGGACAUAUGCCCUAGUGGGCCUAAAAGCAGCCACCUACAUAGAAAGCGUUAAAGCUCAAGCAUUAAACCUGCCCACCUAUUCAGAUAACACCUCCCAACCCCCUAACACUACCAGGCCUUCUCAUGCAAACAUGAGAGUGCCCAUGCUAAUAUGAGUAAUAAGAAGGCCCCGGCUUUCUCCUGACACACGU